GAUGAAGAACGUAGCGAAAUGCGAUAAGUAAUGUGAAUUGCAGAAUUCAGUGAAUCAUCGAAUCUUUGAACGCACAUUGCGCCCGCCAGUAUUCUGGCGGGCAUGCCUGUUCGAGCGUCAUUUCAACCAUCAAGCCCCAGGCUUUUGUUGGGGACCUGCGGCUGCCGCAGGCCCUGAAAACCAGUGGCGGGCUCGCUGUCACACCGGGCGUAGUAGAUUUUAUCUCGCUCAGGGCGUGCUGCGGGUUCCGGCCGUUAAAAAGCCUUUUUUACCCAAGGUUGACCUCGGAUCAGGUAGGAAGACCCGCUGAACUUAAGCAUAUCAAUAAGCGGAGA
rnacentral:misc_RNA from 1 species